UUCUGUCUAGGAAAGAGGUUUGGUCACCUAAUUGCGCGUCAAUAAGGAGAAAUCCUUAUUGGAAAGUGUAACGCCCCCAAAAUAGGUCCAAUCCAUCCAACCUAUUCUGAGUCGCCAAAUACAUGGUACAGAAAACAACUACAACUUUAUUACUACAAUUGUCGUGCAAAAUACAAUAACACAUAUGUUGUGAGUUUUGAUACAAAUAUAUAUACCAACUGUGACUCUUGACACCAAAUUGGAUAGCAC
rnacentral:lncRNA from 1 species